GAUCAUGGCUCAGGAUGAACGCUAGCUACAGGCUAACACAUGCAAGUCGAGGGGCAGCAUGUCAGUGGCUUGCCACUGAUGAUGGCGACCGGCGCACGGGUGAGUAACGCGUAUCCAACCUUCCCCCAAGUAGGGAAUAGCCCGGCGAAAGUCGGAUUAAUGCCCUAUGUUUUCCUUAUGUGAGCAUUCUGUGAGGAACAAAGAUUGAUCGCUUGGGGAUGGGGAUGCGUCUGAUUAGAUGGUAGGCGGGGCAACGGCCCACCUAGUCCGCGAUCAGUAGGGGUUCUGAGAGGAAGGUCCCCCACAUUGGAACUGAGACACGGUCCAAACUCCUACGGGAGGCAGCAGUGAGGAAUAUUGGUCAAUGGCCGGGAGGCUGAACCAGCCCAAGUAGCGUGCGGGAUGACGGCCCUAUGGGUUGUAAACCGCUUUUGCCGGGGAAUAAAGUGGCCCACGCGUGGGUUUUUGCAUGUACCCGGAGAAUAAGGACCGGCUAAUUCCGUGCCAGCAGCCGC
rnacentral:rRNA from 1 species